CCAGAGACCGGCGCACGGGUGCGUAACGCGUAUGCAAUCUGCCUUUCACAGAGGGAUAGCCCAGAGAAAUUUGGAUUAAUACCUCAUAGUAUAGCGACAUCGCAUGAUGAUGCUAUUAAAGUCACAACGGUGAAAGAUGAGCAUGCGUCCCAUUAGCUAGUUGGUAAGGUAACGGCUUACCAAGGCAACGAUGGGUAGGGGUCCUGAGAGGGAGAUCCCCCACACUGGUACUGAGACACGGACCAGACUCC
rnacentral:rRNA from 1 species